rnacentral:lncRNA from 1 species
GUUUGAGUCCACUGGAAUUGUCCCUAAACAUUUGGGUUUUGGUAACACUGAUAAGUGGAAUUUCAUUGAAGUGUAGCCAAAUGGCAGUAGAUUAAAAUGUGAAUAAGAGAAAAAAGUGGAGUGAAAAGUGUAUGAAGACACAUCUUUUGAGAAGUUUGACUAUAAAGAAUAGCAGAUAAAUAGAAUGUGACAGCUUAAAAAAGUUCUCUCAUCCUCUUUCCAAAAGAUAUUUGAAAGACUAAAUUUUAGGAACCAAGUCUAGAGGAGCUGACACUAUCUGGGACAUGCAAUUCUCAAGUGGAUGGAUGGAAUAUGAGUGUUUGAAUGUGAAUAUUGCAGCAAUCAAGCUUUUGCUAUGCAGAGAAGGAAUAUGAAAAGGAAUUAAAGAUCAGGUAUGACACAACAAAAAAUGAAAAGGAACUGGAUAACUGAGUAAACUUUUGGAUUAGAGCUCUCUG